rnacentral:lncRNA from 1 species
GGCGAUAUAAGCUUUUCUUUGCUUGCUCCUCCUCUUGUCCUAUGGAUACUUGGUGUCAGCCUUCUGCCUGUUUUUCAAUUUUGGACAUUGCAUAUUUAUAUGACCAUCUUUUCCGCAUUCAUAGCAUGUCACAAUGUUAUUCUUGGAGUUCUUCUUUCCUCCCCUUGAAUAACCUGCAUUGUCAAUUGCUACGUUUCUACUUCUCAUGAAUUUAGUAAACUUCUUUACUAUUAUGUUCAUGAUCUCUUUU